AUGAACACUGCUGUUCUGAAUAGAGCGGGGAGCAUAAGAGUGCUUUUGGACAGUAAGCAAUGUGACACUUCAUUUAGGUGAAUAGAGGGAGAAGCUCCUUCAGAGAAUGCAGGGAAGACAGCGGUGGACUACAUCUGCAAAACAAAAUAUGCCCUCUCGUGUCCAUUCACAGUCCAGCCACCUAUAUGUGACAUAUGCCUUAACUGGAGGAAAAAUAGGUUUGUAUCAGAAAAAAUCUUUGAGUUGUGGCUGUAGAAGAAACAGAGGUAUCACUCACCACAGAAUGAAGUUGUGGCCAGUCGACUCCGUUCAAGAGGUGGCGCCCAUUUGGACCACAUCCCAUGGCAUGCUGGCCCUGCAGGAUGCGAACAAACAUGACGCAACCAUAGUGCACCCUUGCUGCUGAUGGGAUGAACAUAUUGAGCACUGACGUCAGGAAAAUGGCGGCCCC